rnacentral:rRNA from 1 species
GGAAUACCGGUGGCGAAGGCGGCCCCCUGGACGAAGACUGACGCUCAGGUGCGAAAGCGUGGGGAGCAAACAGGAUUAGAUACCCUGGUAGUGCACGCCGUAAACGAUGUCGACUUGGAGGUUGUGCCCUUGAGGCGUGGCUUCCGGAGCUAACGCGUUAAGUCGACCGCCUGGGGAGUACGGCCGCAAGGUUAAAACUCAAAUGAAUUGACGGGGGCCCGCACAAGCGGUGGAGCAUGUGGUUUAAUUCGAUGCAACGCGAAGAACCUUACCUGGUCUUGACAUCCACGGAAGUUUUCAGAGAUGAGAAUGUGCCUUCGGGAACCGUGAGACAGGUGCUGCAUGGCUGUCGUCAGCUCGUGUUGUGAAAUGUUGGGUUAAGUCCCGCAACGAGCGCAACCCUUAUCCUUUGUUGCCAGCGGUCCGGCCGGGAACUCAAAGGAGACUGCCAGUGAUAAACUGGAGGAAGGUGGGGAUGACGUCAAGUCAUCAUGGCCCUUACGACCAGGGCUACACACGUGCUACAAUGGCGCAUACAAAGAGAAGCGACCUCGCGAGAGCAAGCGGACCUCAUAAAGUGCGUCGUAGUCCGGAUUGGAGUCUGCAACUCGACUCCAUGAAGUCGGAAUCGCUAGUAAUCGUGGAUCAGAAUGCCACGGUGAAUACGUUCCCGGGCCUUGUACACACCGCCCGUCACACCAUGGGAGUGGGUUGCAAAAGAAGUAGGUAGCUUAACCUUCGGGAGGGCGCUCACCACUUUGUGAUUCAUGACUGGGGUGAAGUCGUAACAAGGUAACCGUAGGGGAACCUGCGGCUGGAUCACCUCCUU